GACGAACGCUGGCGGCGUGCCCAACACAUGCAAGUUGAGCGACGAACCAGGGCUUGCCCUGGGGCAAAGCAGCGAACGGGCGAGUAACACGUGGGUAACCUACCCCGAUAACCGGGACAACCCGAGGAAACUCGGGCUAAUACCGGAAGUGCUCACUGGACUUCGGUUCAGUGCGUAAAGGAAGCUUUGGCCUUCGCAUCGGGACGGGCCCGCGGCCCAUUAGCUUGGUGGUGAGGUAACGGCUUACCAAGGCUUCGAUGGGUAGCUGGUCUGAGAGAACGAUCAGCCACACUGGGACUGAGACACGGCCCAGACUCCUACGGGAGGCAGCAGUGGGGAAUCUUGCGCAAUGGGCGAAAGCCUGACGCAGCAACGCCGCGUGGGGGAAGAAGGCCUUCGGGUUGUAAACCCCUUUCAGUUGGGACGAAGCUUCCAGGGUUAAUAGCUUUGUGGAGUGACGGUACCUUCAGAAGAAGCCCCGGCUAACUACGUGCCAGCAGCCGCAGUAA
rnacentral:rRNA from 1 species